CAUGAAGCUGGAAUCGCUAGUAAUCGCAGAUCAGAAUGCUGCGGUGAAUACGUUCCCGGGUCUUGUACACACCGCCCGUCACACCAUGGGAGUCGGAAAUGCCCGAAGCCGGUGACCCAACCAAAAGGAGGGAGCCGUCGAAGGCAGGUCUGAUAACUGGGGUGAAGUCGUAACAAGGUACC
rnacentral:rRNA from 1 species